AUUGAACGCUGGCGGCAGGCCUAACACAUGCAAGUCGAACGGUAGCACAGAGGAGCUUGCUCCUUGGGUGACGAGUGGCGGACGGGUGAGUAAUGUCUGGGAAACUGCCCGAUGGAGGGGGAUAACUACUGGAAACGGUAGCUAAUACCGCAUAACGUCGCAAGACCAAAGAGGGGGACCUUCGGGCCUCUUGCCAUCGGAUGUGCCCAGAUGGGAUUAGCUAGUAGGUGGGGUAACGGCUCACCUAGGCGACGAUCCCUAGCUGGUCUGAGAGGAUGACCAGCCACACUGGAACUGAGACACGGUCCAGACUCCUACGGGAGGCAGCAGUGGGGAAUAUUGCACAAUGGGCGCAAGCCUGAUGCAGCCAUGCCGCGUGUAUGAAGAAGGCCUUCGGGUUGUAAAGUACUUUCAGCGAGGAGGAAGGCGUUGUGGUUAAUAACCGCAGCGAUUGACGUUACUCGCAGAAGAAGCACCGGCUAACUCCGUGCCAGCCGCCGCGGUAA
rnacentral:rRNA from 1 species